rnacentral:rRNA from 1 species
UACGGGGGGGGCAAGCGUUGUUCGGAAUUACUGGGCGUAAAGGGUCCGUAGGUGGCUCGCUAAGUCAGACGCGAAAUCCCUCGGCUUAACCGGGGAACUGCGUCUGAGACUGAUGAGCUUGAGUGCAGGAGAGGAACGCGGAAUUCCAGGUGUAGCGGUGAAAUGCGUAGAUAUCUGGAGGAACACCGGUGGCGAAGGCGGCGUUCUGGACUGCAACUGACACUGAAAGACGAAAGCCAGGGGAGCAAACGGG